AACGAACGCUGGCGGCAUGCCUAACACAUGCAAGUCGAACGAGACCUUCGGGUCUAGUGGCGCACGGGUGCGUAACGCGUGGGAACCUGCCUUGAGGUUCGGAAUAACUUCCCGAAAGGGAUGCUAAUACCGGAUGAUGUCUUCGGACCAAAGAUUUAUCGCCUUUAGAUGGGCCCGCGUUGGAUUAGCUAGUUGGUGGGGUAAAGGCCUACCAAGGCGACGAUCUUUAGCUGGUCUGAGAGGAUGAUCAGCCACACUGGGACUGAGACACGGCCCAGACUCCUACGGGAGGCAGCAGUGGGGAAUAUUGGACAAUGGGCGAAAGCCUGAUCCAGCAAUGCCGCGUGAGUGAUGAAGGCCUUAGGGUUGUAAAGCUCUUUUACCAGGGAUGAUAAUGACAGUACCUGGAGAAUAAGCUCCGGCUAACUCCGUGCCAGCCGCCGCGGUAACAC
rnacentral:rRNA from 1 species